GAGAGGGUAUACCAGCUGGACGUCCGCCRRCRHUUAAGURAUWAHUAAUHUYAAACUAGGACCGAGUCCUGCUUGCGACCGCCGCACGAAUUGUGUACGUUCAGCUCGCCAUUCCGGGAAGCCCCAUGUGCUCGCCGCUUGCCCACUCAUUGUGCACCCACUAGACGGAGCAUGAAGCCCUAUUCGGACCCUUUGACCCAGAUUAUGGCCUAUACUGGUGUACGACGUACCACACACCACCUUUCUAAAUAGCCACGCUCUACCCGGGCGCCGGAUAGUCGAACAACCACCCCAUUACCGGAUGGUUCCGCUGCUGCCCAUCGGCUGGACUCUCCCACUGGCCCGGUGUGACCCUGACUCUGUGCCGGGUCUGAGGAUGCCCUCCGUCGUCACCCCUUAUAACGUGUUACCCGCCUUCGGACUACGUCGCUGCGGCGCACUCCCUACUGCCGAAGCCCAACAUUUGGAGAAAGCUGUCCCUGCUUCGCGUUCACUGCCAUGGACAUCUUCUUCGUGGCCGGUUGAUGCACGGUCGUCGGCGCCAUUAUGCAUCCCACGCUCGCAACAGGCCUUAAUGACCCGCAUUUCUCGAACAUCCGCCAAACAGCGCAGAAGACACUUUUGAGUGUCGAGUUGACACUCGAACGUCCCCUAUGCCCGUCUGAUCUCAUGAAGUCCCCUCUGACCUUAAGGACCACAUCGCCACUUUACGCGUCUAUAGUCCUCCUUGUGGCCACCGCUUCCGCCCAGAGACCCUUCAUUGACUGCGACUCUUCGCUUUCGCACCCAUCGCUUGUCCUAAUCUAUGGRACCAUCAGUUAGCUUA
rnacentral:rRNA from 1 species